rfam:Schistosoma rodhaini strain Burundi genome assembly, scaffold: SROB_scaffold0007137
AUCCAGCUAAGGAGUCUCAAAUAGGACGAAACAUGUGUCCUGUAU